rnacentral:rRNA from 1 species
CAGUAGCCGCGGGAAUACGUAGGUGGCAAGCGUUGUCCGGAAUUAUUGGGCGUAAAGGGCUCGCAGGCGGUUUCUUAAGUCUGAUGUGAAAGCCCCCGGCUCAACCGGGGAGGGUCAUUGGAAACUGGGAAACUUGAGUGCAGAAGAGGAGAGUGGAAUUCCACGUGUAGCGGUGAAAUGCGUAGAGAUGUGGAGGAACACCUGUGGCGAAGGCGACUCUCUGGUCUGUAACUGACGCUGAGGAGCGAAAGCGUGGGGAGCGAACAGGAUUAGAUACCCCUGUAGUCCCUGUCUCUUAUAC